rnacentral:rRNA from 1 species
AUUGAACGCUGGCGGCAUGCUUUACACAUGCAAGUCGAACGGUAACAGGCCUUCGGGUGCUGACGAGUGGCGAACGGGUGAGUAAUGCAUCGGAACGUACCCAGAGGUGGGGGAUAACGCAGCGAAAGCUGUGCUAAUACCGCAUGUGAUCUGAGGAUGAAAGUGGGGGACCGAGCAGCAAUGUUUGGCCUCGCGCCUUUGGAGCGGCCGAUGUCGGAUUAGCUAGUUGGUGGGGUAAAGGCCUACCAAGGCGACGAUCCGUAGCUGGUCUGAGAGGACGACCAGCCACACGGGGACUGAGACACGGCCCAGACUCCUACGGGAGGCAGCAGUGGGGAAUUUUGGACAAUGGGCGCAAGCCUGAUCCAGCAAUGCCGCGUGCGGGAAGAAGGCCUUCGGGUUGUAAACCGCUUUUGGCAGGAACGAAACGGUGUCCGCUAAUACCGGGCGCUAAUGACGGUACCUGCAGAAUAAGCACCGGCUAACUACGUG